CACCGCGGUCAUACGAUUAACCCAAAUUAAUAGAUCCACGGCGUAAAGAGUGUUUAAGAAAAAAAAUCACAAUAGAGUUAAAUUAUAACUAAGCUGUAAAAAGCCCUAGUUAAAAUAAAAUAACCCACGAAAGUGACUCUAAUAAUCCUGACACACGAUAGCUAGGACC
rnacentral:rRNA from 1 species